AGAUUGAACGCUGGCGGCAGGCCUAACACAUGCAAGUCGAGCGGUAGAGAGGUGCUUGCACCUCUUGAGAGCGGCGGACGGGUGAGUAAUGCCUAGGAAUCUGCCUAGUGGUGGGGGAUAACGUUCGGAAACGGACGCUAAUACCGCAUACGUCCUACGGGAGAAAGCGGGGACCUUCGGGCCUCGCGCCAUUAGAUGAGCCUAGGUCGGAUUAGCUAGUUGGUGAGGUAAUGGCUCACCAAGGCGACGAUCCGUAACUGGUCUGAGAGGAUGAUCAGUCACACUGGAACUGAGACACGGUCCAGACUCUACGGAGGCAGCAGUGGGAAUAUUGGACAAUGGGCGAAAGCCUGAUCCAAGCCAAUGCCGACGUGUGGUGAAGAAAGGUCUUCGGAAUUGUAAAGCACUUAAGUUGGAGAAGGUUGUAACUUAAUACGUUGACAACUUUGACGUUUACGACAGAAUAAGACACCAGCUAACUCGCGCCAGCCAGACG
rnacentral:rRNA from 1 species